UGUUUACACAGAGACACGGGUUUCUGGUGCUGUCGUCCCUUCAGCGUCCUCGGUAUAUCUUUGGUCACACAAGAGAGGCACAAAGCGGUGAUAAAGUUAGCAGUUCUGGGUUAAGAAGGACUUACUCUUCAUCAAGGCGAAGCAUACCUGUGCAUGUAUCUGUACGGUGUGAUCUCUACCAGUUCCACAGGUUGAAGUUUUCUCACCCUCUGAUAUCACAAGGCCCUCUGGUACAGAUCACAGAGAUGAAAGAGAUUCAACAAUUUUGUAAUUAAGAGACUUCUAACGACCCCAGCGAGGAGAUUCUUCACUAAAUAUUCACAGCCUUAAUUGUCCCUUGUCUGCCUGGAGUUAACGUCAUCGCUCAGUGGGCAGUGUGGAGGGGGUUCGCAGCGGGUGUUGAUUGUUAUAUAUAAUACGCAUACAUACAGGUAUCUCAGAUAAAAGAAUGCAGGAACUGGCCUUGACCCGUGUUGGCUAUUAAGCGUUUGACCGCAAUGUGUCCACUGCCAUUCUAGUUCUUACAUUGCGGAGAUUGAAAAAUUGUAGUCUAUAUUAAGUCAUCAUCAAGCACUUCGCGGUCUUAACCAAGAGACAGCAAAUGGCUAACGUCGUACAGAGUCUCUUCCAGUAUUUUUCAACUGCCGGCCUGCCAACAGUUUUGAUAUUCGUGGUAGUGCUGUUGUUAAGUCUGUGGAUGCUGUCGUCGAGGAAUCCUCGGGUGAACUGGCCGCCCGGACCUCUCUGUUUCCCCGUGGUGGGAUGUCUCCCACAGAUGAUGAUCAGCGGUAGGAGAAGACAACCUACGGAUCUUCUUCCAUGGUAUGAUACAUACGGAGAUAUCAUGCACGUCAAAUUUGGUGAGCAACACGCGAUAAUGCUGGGAACUUAUGAACUGAUCCAAGAGGCUUUCGUGAAGAAUGCAGCCACAGUCAGUGCUAGACCAACAUGGAUAUAUCGUUUGAGUCGAAUAGUUGGGAAGGACGGGGCUGGCGUUAUAUUUAAAUCCGGGCACGCAUGGAAAGAGCUGAGGAGAUUCACGCUCUCGUCUCUUCGAGAUCUCGGCCUCGGGAGAAAAAGUUUACAAGAAAGAAUUCAGGAUGAAGCUCGAUAUUUGGUACAAAACAUUGAAGAUGAAAAUGGGAAGGCUUUCUGUCCCACUGGAAGGAUUGGGAAAGCUGUCAGCAAUAUUAUCUCUAUCAUUGUGUUUGGAGCCAGAAAUGACUAUAAUGACACCCCAGAAAUGCUGCCAGUUUUGGAGCAAGCCAUAAGGACUGGCCAGGGAAUACUGUCCCUCACUAACUUGUCGCGCAUUUUACCGAUGAAAAAGGUAUUCGCUCUCAUUGACAAGCUAUAUAGUUUGAUACGACAAGAAGUCGAACGUCACCGCCAGUCCUUUGAUCCAGCUGACAUCCGGGACUUCAUUGACCUCUACAUUAAGGUCACACAAGAUGGACAUGAUCCCGAGGUCUACACAGAAUGGAACGUAUUUCGCAUCAUCGUUGAUCUAUAUUUGGCUGGCACCGACACAACAGCGAAUACUUUGAGAUGGUCCCUGGUUCAUAUGGUAAAUCAUCCGGACGUUCAGAAGAGGGUGCAACAGGAAAUUGAUCAGGUCAUAGGUCAAGAUCGCGUUGCCAAGAUGGAGGACAAGGAAAGGAUGUCAUUUACGGAAGCAACCAUCCUGGAGGUCUUUCGUAUGUCACCGGUUGCUCCUUUUGGAGUUCCCCAUGCCACCAGUGAAACUACCAACUUGGCCGGACACACAAUUCCCAAGGGGACCAUGAUACUGGGAGAUUUGUACCGGGUUCUCCACGAUAAGAAUAACUUCGAGGAUCCUUACAAGUUCAAACCAGAAAGAUGGCUGGAUAGCGAUGGGAAAGUGAUCAAGUCGGACAAACUGAUACCGUUUUCUAUGGGACCCCGUAUUUGCCUGGGCAAGGGACUGGCGGAAAUGGAAUCGUUCAUUUUCUUCACCACGUUGCUUCAGAAUUUUACCUUCAAAGUACCAGAAGGCGAGAAACCACCCGAUGGAGUAGAAGGCCUCAACACGUUCACUUUCACGCCAUACCCCUACAACGUGUGCGCUGUUAGACGCUAGAACGGAGAUACACUGUACCUUACUAUGAAUGUACCGGUUACUACUUGUACAUGGACAACAGUAUCUGUAUAAAUACAUCAGAUAAUCCGAGUCUGACACGUGACUGUCAGACUGACGGUAUCUAAACUAAAAUACUUCGUUUAGUCUCGAAAUGGUUUUCGUGCUUUUCCUCUUGGCAAUAACGUUUUUAAUGUAUCGCUGCAAAGAACGUCGUGCAGUUGUUUAAGUAUAUAUUGAUCAAUAGAUUCGUACUUUGAAAACCAUAGAUACGUGCACUGGGGCGGAUGAAGAUCCUUUUCUGCAAUGUGCCUGAAAGGAUUAUUCUUUUAAUGAGGCGGGGAAAGUUUGAUUGCUCCAAGAACUGUACACGUUACAAGUAAUAGUGCUCAUGCCAACUAGUGUACAGAGGUAUACAGUGUAUAUACGUAUGAGUAUCGUAUGUAAAACUGAUUAAACGCUUUUUUCAGCGUAUGAGAAUAAACGUAUA
rnacentral:misc_RNA from 1 species